GUUAGGAAAGUCCGGGCAUCACAGAGCAGGAUAGCUGCUAACGGCAGCCGAGGGUGACCUUAGGGAAAGUGCAACAGAGAUAUACCGCCCCUUACGGGGUAAGGGUGGAAAGGCGAGGUAAGAGCUCACCGGGGCAGCGGAGACGCUGCUGCCAUGUAAACCCUAUCCGAUGCAACGUCUAUUGGUGCAGUAUGGCAACAUUUGCUCGAUGGUCAUGCUGUAAUGACGGCUAAAGCGUUUCGGCGACGAUUCGCUCAGAUAGAUCUCCGCACACGACAGAACCCGGCUUAUCGGCUUAGUC
rnacentral:RNase_P_RNA from 1 species